UACGGGAGGCAGCAGUGGGGNAUAUUGCACAAUGGGGGAAACCCUGAUGCAGCGACGCCGCGUGGAGGAAGAAGGUUUUCGGAUUGUAAACUCCUGUUGUUNGGGAAGAUAAUGACGGUACCCAACAAGNAAGNGNCGGCUAACUACGUGCCAGCAGCCGCGGUAAAACGUAGGUCGCAAGCGUUGUCCGGAAUUACUGGGUGUAAAGGGAGCGCAGGCGGNNNGNCAAGUUGGAAGUGAAAUCCAUGGGCUCAACCCNUGAAUUGCUUUCAAAACUGNUNUNCUUGAGUAGUGCAGAGGUAGGCGGAAUUCCCGGUGUAGCGGUGGAAUGCGUAGAUAUCGGGAGGAACACCAGUGGCGAAGGCGGCCUACUGGGCACCAACUGACGCUGAGGCUCGAAAGNNUGGGUAGCAAACAGGAUUAGAUACCCUGGUAGUCCANACCGUAAACGAUGAUUACUAGGUGUUGGAGGAUUGACCCCUUCAGUGCCGCAGUUAACACAAUAAGUAAUCCACCUGGGGAGUACNACCNCCAGGUUGAAACUCAAAGGAAUUGACGGG
rnacentral:rRNA from 1 species